rnacentral:rRNA from 1 species
AUUGAACGCUAGCGGGAUGCUUUACACAUGCAAGUCGAACGAGUGGCGGACGGGUGAGUAAUAUAUCGGAACGUGCCCAGUAGCGGGGGAUAACUACUCGAAAGAGUGGCUCAUACCGCAUCCUAUUGGAGAGGCCGAUAUCGGUUGAGCUAGUUGGUGGGGUAAAGGCCAACAAAGGCAACGAUCCGUAGCUGGUUGGAGAGGACGACCAGCAAGACUGGGACUGAGACACGGCCCAGACUCCUACGGGAGGCAGCAGUGGGGAAUUUUGGACAAUGGGGGAAACCCUGAUCCAGCCAUCCCGCGUGUAUGAGAAGGCCUUCGGGUUGUAAAGUACUUUUGGCAGAGAAGCGGUAUCUACAGAAUAAGCACCGGCUAACUACGUGCCAGCAGCCGCGGUAAUUC